UGCAGAAAAUAAUGUAUUUAAAUGUGUUUACAAUAAUAUUUUUAUUUUUGUAGAAAAUUAAUUAGUGAAAGUUAUUACAGAAUUUCAAAACUCUGCUCUGUCCCGUUCAUUGGUACUCCUCUGUUUGUAUCUUGUCUACAUGCAUUUAAUCUCUUAUCAGAUUUAGGUUUGAUUACAUCAAUUUAUCUUUCUAUUUUGAUUUCGUUGAUUUUCCUUUAAUUUGAUUUGUUCAUGAAAGGCUUUGAUAACGAUUUGUUUCAGUAUGUGAGUGUUGAGUGAAAUGUAAAUGUAAUUCCCAGGGCGAAAGCAAAGUCUGAAUGAUAACAAUGUUGACGUAAAUCUUCUCAGUUCAAUUGAUAUCUUAUGCAUACUUUCUUUUAGGAAUGUGUGAAUGUUUCAAAUACAUCAUUGGAGCACUUGGGAAGGGGUUGAAUCCACUGAUAAUACUAUAUUUGAUUUUCUGAAUGGUUUAUUGGAAAAUAAAAGUUCAUUUGCUUUCAUUUUUGCUCAUUCUCUUUGAACUUGACUUGUGCUGCUUUCACCUUUUCUGAAGUAAGCCCAACGGGCAAGUUCAUGACCGAUGAUUUUGAUGCAAACUCUAAUAUUCAAAGCUGCAGGUUCAGUGUGUGGGAAACAGAUGAUCUGGAACAAAUUUGACACCUGACAAUCACGAAACUGUUUCGGUUCCAACUUUGUAUAUGCAUGAGAACCAGUGCUCAUUAGCCAUUUGUUUUAAUGAUUAGCUCAUUUUUCGUUUAUGCAGAGACACACAACACAUUAUACUAUUGUCCAACAGUAGGAUUCAAAGAGCCUUUGUUUACGGAGUUUUUGGGUUUUUUUAUAAAUGAAUUGCUUUUUUUUUAUAUGUAUAUUUGUACUGUAUCUAUUGAUUUUGGUAUAAAUUAGCAAAGGUGGUAAUUGUUAAUUGAAGAUGUUAAUGUAAGUGAUACAAUUUGUGGGAAGAGGGUAUGAAGCUCAGACGUAUGUGCAGCCAGAGCUUAGUGUGUAUGCUAAUUUUAUGAGCAUAAAAGGACGUUUUUCUAUUGGGUUCAA